rnacentral:rRNA from 1 species
UACAGAGGUCUCAAGCGUUGUUCGGAUUCAUUGGGCGUAAAGGGUGCGUAGGUGGCGUCGGUAAGUCGGGUGUGAAAUUUCGGAGCUUAACUCCGAAACUGCAUUCGAUACUGGCGUGCUUGAGGACUGGAGAGGAGACUGGAAUUCAUGGUGUAGCAGUGAAAUGCGUAGAGAUCAUGAGGAAGACCAGUGGCGAAGGCGGGUCUCUGGACAGUUCCUGACAGCU